ACUCCUACGGGAGGCAGCAGUGGGGAAUAUUGCACAAUGGGCGCAAGCCUGAUGCAGCCAUGCCGCGUGUGUGAAGAAGGCCUUCGGGUUGUAAAGCACUUUCAGUCGUGAGGAAGGUAGUGUAGUUAAUAGCUGCAUUAUUUGUACGUUAGCGACAGAAGAAGCACCGGCUAACUCCGUGCCAGCAGCCGCGGUAAGUACGGAGGGUGCGAGCGUUAAUCGGAAUUACUGGGCGUAAAGCGCAUGCAGGUGGUUUGUUAAGUCAGAUGUGAAAGCCCGGGGCUCAACCUCGGAAUAGCAUUUGAAACUGGCAGACUAGAGUACUGUAGAGGGGGUUAGGAAUUUCAGGUGUAGCGGUGAAAUGCGUAGAGAUCUGAAGGAAUACCGGUGGCGAAGGCGGCCCCUGGACAGAUACUGACACUCAGAUGCGAAAGCGUGGGAGCAAACAGGAUUAGAUA
rnacentral:rRNA from 1 species